AUGCAGUCGAACGGGCUCUUCGGAGCAAGUGGCGGACGGGUGAGUAACGCGUGAGAAUGUGCCUUCAGGAUGGGGAUAACAAUAGGAAACUAAUGCUAAGACCCAAUGUGCCUUAAGUGGUGAAAAAUGAAAAUUGCCUGAAGAGGAGCUCGCGUCUGAUUAGCUAGUUGGGGUGGUAAAAGCGCACCAAGGCAACGAUCAGUAGCUGGUCUGAGAGGAUGAGCAGCCACACUGGGACUGAGACACGGCCCAGACUCCUACGGGAGGCAGCAGUGGGGAAUUUUCCGCAAUGGGCGAAAGCCUGACGGAGCAAUACCGCGUGAGGGAAGACGGCCUAUGGGUUGUAAACCUCUUUUUUCAGGGAGGAAUUCAAUGACGUGUACCUGAGGAAUAAGCAUCGGCUAACUCCGUG
rnacentral:rRNA from 1 species